UACGGAGGGGGCUAGCGUUGUUCGGAAUUACUGGGCGUAAAGCGCACGUAGGCGGCUUUGUAAGUUAGAGGUGAAAGCCCGGAGCUCAACUCCGGAAUUGCCUUUAAGACUGCAUCGCUUGAAUCAUGGAGAGGUGAGUGGAAUUCCGAGUGUAGAGGUGAAAUUCGUAGAUAUUCGGAAGAACACCAGUGGCGAAGGCGACUCACUGGACAUGUAUUGACGCUGAGGUGCGAAAGCGUGGGGAGCAAACAGG
rnacentral:rRNA from 2 species